GGGCCAUAGCUCAGCUGGGAGAGCGCCUGCCUUGCACGCAGGAGGUCUGCGGUUCGAUCCCGCA
rnacentral:tRNA from 1 species